rnacentral:lncRNA from 1 species
GAUUCAAGGGGGAACUGAACUCAACCAGGAAGCUAGAGAGAGAUGUCUCCAAAAAGCUUCUGCUGGUGUACUGCAGUUUCUUGCCACUUCCAAGGGCUCAGGCUGAUUGGCAGACUGAUUUCAGCUGAGACAGAUGCACUUGCUGAGGCAAGACCCGUGGAGGACACGUGAUGCUUGAAGGGCAUAGAAAGGACUCAUCAGAGUGAUGCCACCUCUGCUGAUUCAUGUUUGAUAUCCAAAUUCUACUGAACUGGACUGCUGGUGUAUCUGUGAAGUGUUUCUGAGUGGAUUGAGCUGUUGCCAUUGGCCUGUGAACUGAACUGCUGAUUUCCAGACAACACAGAUGAGAGUUGCUUCAAAGAACCCUUCCUAAACAGGUGACAGUUCAUGAAAGCUCCAUUCGUGGACGUCUACGCACAACUUGAUGGUCACUCAACAGAGCCAAGAAUCUCCUCUUGACAGUGCUGUUGAUACCAUACAGCAGCAGAGGCAGACCUGAUAGAUCUUCACUUGCUGACAUCCACUUCCUAACUUGCUGCCUCACCCUUUGACAAGCAUGAUGUCCCAGCCAGAAGAGGAUGUUCAUCUACUACCCACUUCAAAGUACUGAUGUAUGCUAAGGGUUCAAUAAACAUCUGAAAAU